AAUAUCAAAGGUGAGCCAGUACAGGAUGGACCCGCGUCUGAUUAGCUAGUUGGUAAGGUAACGGCUUACCAAGGCGACGAUCAGUAGCCGACCUGGGAGGGUGAUCGGCCACAUUGGAACUGAGACACGGUCCAAACUCCUACGGGAGGCAGCAGUGGGGAAUAUUGCACAAUGGGCGAAAGCCUGAUGCAGCAACGCCGCGUGAGUGAUGAAGGCCUUCGGGUCGUAAAACUCUGUCCUCAAGGAAGAUAAUGACGGUACUUGAGGAGGAAGCCCCGGCUAACUACGUGCCAGCAGCCGCGGUAAUACGUAGGGGGCUAGCGUUAUCCGGAUUUACUGGGCGUAAAGGGUGCGUAGGCGGUCUUUCAAGUCAGGAGUGAAAGGCUACGGCUCAACCGUAGUAAGCUCUUGAAACUGGGAGACUUGAGUGCAGGAGAGGAGAGUGGAAUUCCUAGUGUAGCGGUGAAAUGCGUAGAUAUUAGGAGGAACACCAGUUGCGAAGGCGGCUCUCUGGACUGUAACUGACGCUGAGGCACGAAAGCGUGGGGAGCAAACAGGAUUAGAUACCCUGGUAGUCCACGCUGUAAACGAUGAGUACUAGGUGUCGGGGGUUACCCCC
rnacentral:rRNA from 1 species